GCUAACGUAGCUUACCCUUCAAAGCAUAACACUGAAGCUGUUAAGAUGGGCCCUAAGAAGCCCCGUCAGCA
rnacentral:tRNA from 1 species